AUGCGCAUGCGGGGUUGCGACAUCCUCACCGCCAGGCUUCUGGGCUGCAUGUUCAUUAGGUGCUAACUGAGGCUCUUUCCAGAAGGUCUUGGGUGUAGAAACUGUGGCACAGGGACCGCGCAUCUGCCUUCCUUGAGCUCUAGUUACCCCGUCUGCCACUUGACUCGUGGCCAUCUUUACUAUUCAUCGAUUGAAUGAGUAGAGAGCAGGGAUUCUGCCAAAUGGUAGUCACUGCUACCCCUGGCACUCCUGAAGCCUGUGAAGAUAACUGCUUCUUUCUUUUAUCUUGAGAUCAAGUCCCACUGGUCCGGGCUAGCCUGGGAAUCGCUGAGAAGGGGUCAGAUCCUCUAGAACUAGUUACAGAUGAUUGUUAGCCCCUCUUGUAAGUGCUGGGAGCCAAUUCUUUGCCUCUGAGCCAUCUCUCUAGCCUGUUUUGAAAGAGGGCCUCAUAUAGUAACCCAGGCUGGUUUGGAACUCUGGGGAAUCUUCCUGCCUCAAAGCCCCUGGUGGUGCGAUGACUGUACAUUCGAUAUUGUCCACAGAACCCAGAGCUUUUGUAUGCUAGGCAAAGGCCACCAACUGAUGAGCAUCCACAGCCAGAAUCGAGACUCAGAGGAACACACUCCUUCCUCCCUGUGCUACCUUCCCACUCUCAGUGGAGGAUGUUCCUGCCGUAUUCCAGGAAGACUGAAGCCCCGUCUGGUCAUUCUGGUGAUCUAACCCACCCCGCAUGCCUAGUCCAGCCCUGCUCUUCCCAGCUGUUCAGGAAGUUCUAGGCAUCCUCCUGUUCCAGGGUCCUGCUCUGGGAAAACAGCACUUUUCUCCUGCACCGAGAGAGGUCCCUCGAGCACAGAUGCAGCCCAGGCCACCACAACCUCCUUCCAGUUGCUCUUGGCUUCAUGCAAGAACCCCUGUAUCCUGGCAGGGCGCCCUCCCUGGGCUGCUGCCGAGAUGGACCCUGGAGACUCCACUUCCUAGGAAUAGCAGCAGUCUACAAGACCUCGUGUAGCCCAGGCUGCCUGAGCUUUUACUACGUUGCUGAAAUGACCUUGAACUUCGGUUCCUCUUGCUCCAUAGCCCAAGUGCUGGGAUGGAAGGGGACAAUGCUUCCAAAUGGGACCUCAGCACACAGUACAUAGACACACCAGCAACAGAAGCAAGCCAGCAUUUGCUGAAUGAAUAAACAGUUCAAAACACA